rnacentral:tRNA from 1 species
CGGGGCGUAGCGCAGCCUGGUAGCGCGUACGGUUCGGGACCGUGAGGUCGCUGGUUCAAAUCCAGUCGCCCCGA